ensembl:lncRNA
AAAACAGCAGCGAUGGCCUCCGUUGUUAAAUUUAACGCAUUCUCAAGCGUCUAUCAAAGAAUCCAUGAUGCCAUGUAUCUAAACAAGAUGUCCAGGACCUCCAGCAGAAAUAUAGGCCCACAACAUCAAAAAUACAGCAGUAUAUUUCAUUGUACACAUGGAGUGCUUUUUUUCUCUGUGUUCACCAAACCCAUCUUGAGUGUUUGCUGCUAAACAGCUAAUUUUUUAGUUUAAUAUCACCAUAGAAGCCAGUCCCAUUUAAAGUUCCAGUCGUGUCUGAUAACUGAAUAUGCUGGAGUUUGUUUUUGUAUAAGUUAGGAGAAUUUAUCUUGAAACCUUCUCAAACAACAUGUGGUGAUGUAGGUUCUGUUUGACAAUAUUUUUUGAAG